CUUUUUUACGAGGUAUCAGCACUUUUCUUUCAUUAGUGGGGAAGGAAGGAUGAAAAAUACAAACCAGCAGUAGACUUUUAAAGUUUAAAUAGACAAGUCUGAGAGUCUGAACUUCUCUUCCAUUUUACGUUUACCCUCCAAAGAGGCACUUGUUCGCCUGCUUCACUGCUGAUCAGCAAGGGUAAGUUGGAAAGUUUUU
rnacentral:other from 1 species